AGCAGCCGCGGUAAUUCCAGCUCCAAUAGCGUAUAUUAAAGUUGUUGCAGUUAAAAAGCUCGUAGUUGAAUUUCGGGGUUAGUAGGUUGGUCAUGCCUCUGGUAUGUACUGGUCUCACUGAUUCCUCCUUCCUGAUGAGCCGUAAUGCCAUUAAUUUGGUGUUGCGGGGAAUUUGGACUGUUACUUUGAAAAAAUUAGAGUGUUUAAAGCAAGCUAACGCUUGAAUACAUUAGCAUGGAAUAAUGAAAUAGGACGUUCGAUCCUAUUUUGUUGGUUUCUAGGAUUGACGUAAUGAUUAAUAGGGAUAGUUGGGGGCAUUAGUAUUCAAUUGUCAGAGGUGAAAUUCUUGGAUUUAUUGAAGACUAACUACUGCGAAAGCAUUUGCCAAGGAUGUUUUCAUUAAUCAAGAACGAAAGUUAGGGGAUCGAAGACGAUCAGAUACCGUCGUAGUCUUAACCAUAAACUAUGCCGACUAGGGAUCGG
rnacentral:rRNA from 1 species